rfam:Gallus gallus isolate RJF #256 breed Red Jungle fowl, inbred line TCD001 chromosome 12, whole genome shotgun sequence.
GCGCCUCACUGUCCUGUAUGGCUUUUUAUUCCUAUGUGAUUAUACAUCCCGCUUCAUAUAGGGAUUGAAGCCGUGCAAGGCGCUGGGGUCC